rnacentral:misc_RNA from 1 species
GCAUAUGCCUAUGGAAUUCAUUCAAUAUUUUAAUAAAAGCAUUCAACAAAAAUUAAUAGAAUGUUUUGUCAUUGCCCAAAACAAUCAUAGAAAAACUUCUAAAAGAAAAAACAAAUGUCUAUUACUAAAACCAUGCAUAUCAUACCCUAAUUCUAAUAAUGCCUUUAUCCUUCAUACAAAAGCAUGCUUCACAAGUGAUAGCUCAAGAAUUUUUCUGUCGCCUAUUAUUAGAAUGCUAGUUGUAAUUGUGCCUUAAAUUUUGUGUGUGCAUUUGUGUAUGCUAUAAUAGUGCCCAUAAAUAUGCCUAGGAUUGUCUAUCCUCCCAUUCUCGUGUAUACUACUUCUUUAGGGUCAAUUUUGAAUACUAGCUCCUUUCUCUUCUUUGUUUUUGUAAGAAAUGACAUUGUUGUUUCUAGUUGACGGGUCUAUGAGAACCAUAUAGCCUCGCCACCUACUCCAUCAAGAGAUUUAGUCAUGUCAAUUUGCCAAACA